CAUAAUAUAAUAAGCUUGGUUAUGGUGGAUUUGGUGAAGUUUACAAGAUAUAGUAUUUGUUCCACGUACUAUUUAUGUUACAUAGUUUGUACAAAACAGAUUCCGGUAGUUAAAUCAAGAAGAUCAAACGAAUUGGCAGGGAACGUUUCCAAGUGCAACACAAGUUGCUCUGAAGAGGCUGACUAAAACGUCAGGACAAGGUGAAGAAGAGUUCAUGAACGAGGUGUUUCUUGUAGCUAAGCUUCAACAUAAGAUCUUGUUAGGCUUCUUGGGUUUUCUAUCAAAGGAGAAGAAAAGAUACUAGUCUACGAGUUCUUGCCUAACAAAAGUCUCGAUCACUUCCAUUUUGUCUUCCAGACCCGAAGAAGAAUAGUCAACUGGAUUGGUCAAAACGAUACAACAUUAUCGAGGGAAUUACUUAUGAAGAUUUGAACCCGAAGAUUCCAGAUUUUGGUGUGACUAGAAAAAUCGGUGUGGACCAAACUGAAGCUACCACAGGAAGAGUGGUUGGGACAUUCGGAUACAUGCCACCAGAGUAUGUGACAAGUGGACAGUUCUCGACAAAAUCUGAUGUGUAUAGCUUUGGAAUAUUGGUUUUGUAGAUUAUUGGUGGAGAAAAGAAUAGUAGCUUCAACGAGAUAGACGGCUCAGUAAGCAACUUGGUCACAUAUAUUAGUAAAAUUCCGAAUGCCAUCUCAAACUUUCCUACUUGUUUUGGCAAUGAUAGUGGCGAUUAACAUUAUUUGAAUUUAUCCCACUGAUAAAGCUUCUUCAAUUUAUCCGUCAAAAGGCAAAUACCAUAUACUUUUG